UUACUAGAGUAGCACUCGCAUAUCAAUAAGCGGAGGAAAAGAAACUAACAAGGAUUCCCCUAGUAACGGCGAGUGAAGCGGGAAGAGCUCAAAUUUGAAAUCUUAAAGGGUUUCCCUUUACGAAUUGUAGUUUAAAGAAGUGUUUUCUGUCGAGGUUUUGGUAAAAGUUCUUUGGAAUAGGGACAUCAUAGAGGGUGAGAAUCCCGUAUUUGACCUUUACUUUCAACUUUGUGAUACACUUUCAAAGAGUCGGAUUGUUUGGGAAUGCAGUCCAAAAUGGGUGGUAAAUUUCAUCUAAAGCUAAAUAUUGGCGAGAGACCGAUAGCGAACAAGUACCGUGAGGGAAAGAUGAAAAGAACUUUGAAAAGAGAGCUAAACAGUACGUGAAAUUGUCAAAAGGGAAGCGUUUGACACCAGUGUUGUUUUUCUGAAAAUCAAUUAAAGAACUGUUUAUGCUAAGUUGUUUAGACUUUAUCAGCUAUCUGCUUAGUUUUGAGCUUUUCUUUAAUGCACUUUUCAGUUAACAAGUCAACAUCAAUUUCUUUUGCUGUAAAAAAGCUUGAGGAAGGUGGCUUGAGAUUCGUCUUAAGUGUUUAUAGCCUCUUGCCUAUGCAGUCGGAGAGAUUGAGGUCUGCAGCGUAGAUCCUUCGGGGCUAAAUGCAUUUGUGCUAAGUUAUAGCAUUUUAUAGACAACUUGUUGACUAUGAUUUGUCUUGUAGCUUACUCGCUUAUGUUAUUUUACCUACGCUUAGGAUGUUGAACUCUAUCACACACAG
rnacentral:rRNA from 1 species